rnacentral:rRNA from 1 species
UAGGGAAUCUUCCACAAUGGACGAAAGUCUGAUGGAGCAACGCCGCGUGAGUGAAGAAGGUUUUCGGAUCGUAAAGCUCUGUUGUUGGUGAAGAAGGAUAGAGGCAGUAACUGGCCUUUAUUUGACGGUAAUCAACCAGAAAGUCACGGCUAACUACGUGCCAGCAGCCGCGGUAAUACGUAGGUGGCAAGCGUUGUCCGGAUUUAUUGGGCGUAAAGCGAGCGCAGGCGGAAGAAUAAGUCUGAUGUGAAAGCCCUCGGCUUAACCGAGGAACUGCAUCGGAAACUGUUUUCUUGAGUGCAGAAGAGGAGAGUGGAACUCCAUGUGUAGCGGUGGAAUGCGUAGAUAUAUGGAAGAACACCAGUGGCGAAGGCGACUCUCUGGUCUGCAACUGACGCUGAGGCCCGAAAGCAUGGGUAGCGAACAGGAUUAGAUACCCUGGUAGUCCAUGCCGUAAACGAUGAGUGCUAAGUGUUGGGAGGUUUCCGCCUCUCAGUGCUGCAGCUAACGCAUUAAGCACUCCGCCUGGGGGAGUACGACCGCAAGGUUGAAAC